rnacentral:antisense_RNA from 1 species
CUUCAACGAGCCCAGCCACAGCGGCUGCUCCGCCGAGCGCCGCCCGUAGGUGGCCAGCAAGGCCUGCGCCUC